rnacentral:rRNA from 1 species
AGCGAACGCUGGCGGCAGGCUUAACACAUGCAGGUCGAACGGGCACUUCGGUGCUAGUGGCAGACGGGUGAGUAACACGUGGGAACGUACCUUUCGGUUCGGAAUAAUUCAGGGAAACUUGGACUAAUACCGGAUACGCCCUUUGGGGGAAAGAUUUAUCGCCGAUAGAUCGGCCCGCGUCUGAUUAGCUAGUUGGUGAGGUAAAGGCUCACCAAGGCGACGAUCAGUAGCUGGUCUGAGAGGAUGAUCAGCCACAUUGGGACUGAGACACGGCCCAAACUCCUACGGGAGGCAGCAGUGGGGAAUAUUGGACAAUGGGCGCAAGCCUGAUCCAGCCAUGCCGCGUGAGUGAUGAAGGCCUUAGGGUUGUAAAGCUCUUUUGUCCGGGAAGAUAAUGACUGUACCGGAAGAAUAAGCUCCGGCUAACUCCGUGCCAGCCGCCGCGGUAACAC